UCUCAAGCGUGAGGUAAGGGCAUUUGGUGGAUGCCUUGGCAUGCACAGGCGAUGAAGGACGUGGCACGCUGCGAUAAGCGUCGGUGAGUUGUGAGCAAACUUUGACCCGACGAUUUCCGAAUGGGGAAACCCAACUUCACCAUUAAAUUUCGCGCCAGCUUCGGCUGGAUCGGAGUUUAGUGGGGAAGUUAUCCCAUAGUGAAUACAUAGCUAUGGUGAAGCGAACCCGGGGAACUGAAACAUCUCAGUACCUGGAGGAAAGGACAUCAACCGAGACUCCCUAAGUAGUGGCGAGCGAAAGGGGACCAGGCCAGUGCCUUUGAUUUAGUCAGCAGAAUUGGUUGGAAAGCCAAGCCGUAGCGGGUGAUAGCCCCGUAUGCGAAAACGAAAUCAAAGGACUCGAGUAAGGCGGGACACGUGAAAUCCUGUCUGAACAUGGGGGGACCACCCUCCAAGCCUAAGUACUCGUGCAUGACCGAUAGUGAACUAGUACCGUGAGGGAAAGGUGAAAAGCACCCCGAUUAGGGGAGUGAAACAGCACCUGAAACCGAAUGCCUACAAUCAGUUGGAGCCCUCUUGAAGGGUGACAGCGUACCUCUUGUAUAAUGGGUCAGCGACUUAGUGUGUGAUGCAAGCUUAAGCCGUUAGGUGAAGGCGCAGCGAAAGCGAGUCUGAAUAGGGCGAUUUAGUAUCACGCAUUAGACCCGAAACCCGGUGAUCUAGGCAUGGCCAGGAUGAAGGUGGGGUAACACCCACUGGAGGUCCGAACCGAUUAACGUUGAAAAGUUAUCGGAUGAGCUGUGUUUAGGGGUGAAAGGCCAAUCAAACCGGGAAAUAGCUGGUUCUCCGCGAAAACUAUUGAGGUAGUGCCUCGGAUGAAUACCGUGGGGGGUAGAGCACUGGAUGGGCUAGGGGGCCGCGAGGUCUACCAAACCUAACCAAACUCCGAAUACCCACGAGUAAUAUCCGGGAGACAGACGGCGGGUGCUAAGGUCCGUCGUCGAGAGGGAAACAGCCCUGACCAACAGCUAAGGUCCCCAAGUCGUGUCUAAGUGGGAAAGCAUGUGAGAAUCCCAAAACAACCAGGAGGUUGGCUUAGAAGCAGCCAUCCUUUAAAGAAAGCGUAACAGCUCACUGGUCUAGAUAAGGGUUCUUGCGGCGAAGAUGUAACGGGGCUCAAGACACGCACCGAAGCUUUGGGUGUGCAUUUAUGCACGCGGUAGCGGAGCGUUCCGUAAGCCGUUGAAGCGGGAGGGUAACCGACCGUGGAGGUAUCGGAAGCGAGAAUGCUGACAUGAGUAGCGAUAAACAGGGUGAGAUGCCCUGUCGCCGAAAGCCUAAGGGUUCCUGCGCAAGGCUAAUCCGCGCAGGGUGAGCCGGAUCCUAAGACGAGGCCGAAGGGCGUAGUCGAUGGUAACACGGUUAAUAUUCCGUGGCCUGGAGAUGUGUGACGGAUCACUUGUGUUGUCUGACCUUAUCGGAUUGGUCAGGCUUCGACGUGGUUCCAGGAAAUAGCCUCUCCAUUAUAGUCCGUACCCGAAACCGACACAGGUAGGCUGGUAGAGUAUACCAAGGCGCUUGAGAGAAGGGUGUUGAAGGAACUCGGCAAAUUGCCUCCGUACCUUCGGAAGAAGGAGGCCCUCACUGCGGGCAACCGCUUUGAGGGGGCACAGGCCAGGGGGUAGCGACUGUUUAACAAAAACACAGGGCUCUGCUAAGUCGGCUUCAAGACGACGUAUAGGGUCUGACGCCUGCCCGGUGCCGGAAGGUUAAGAGGAGGAGUGCAAGCUCUGAAUUGAAGCCCCGGUAAACGGCGGCCGUAACUAUAACGGUCCUAAGGUAGCGAAAUUCCUUGUCGGGUAAGUUCCGACCUGCACGAAUGGCGUAACG
rnacentral:rRNA from 1 species